CCUACGGGAGGCAGCAGUGGGGAAUAUUGGUCAAUGGGCGCAAGCCUGACCCAGCAACGCCGCGUGAAGGAAGAAGGCUCUCGGGUUGUAAACUUCUUUUUAUAGGGAAGAGUAGAAGACGGUACCUGUCGAAUAAUCCAUGGCUAACUACGGGCCAGCAGCAGCGGUCAUACGUAGGUGGCAAGCGUUGUCCGGAUUUACUGGGUGUAAAGGGCGUGUAGCCGGGUUGACAAGUCAGAUGUGAAAUCCUACGGCUUAACCGCAGAACUGCAUUUGAAACUGUUGAUCUUGAGUACUGGAGAGGCAGACGGAAUGCCUAGUGUAGCGGUGAAAUGCGUAGAUAUUAGGAGGAACACCAGUGGCGAAGGCGGUCUGCUGGACAGCAACUGACGGUGAGGCGCGAAAGCGUGGGGAGCAAACAGGAUUAGAUACCCGAGUAGUC
rnacentral:rRNA from 1 species